GCCUUCUUAGCUCAGUGGUAGAGCGCGUGGCUUUUAACCACGUGGUCGUGGGUUCAAGCCCCAUGGAUGGUG
rnacentral:tRNA from 1 species